UAAUUUCAGAGCACCACGUAUGGAGCCUGAGUCUGGCUGCAGCGAGUGUCUGGAUGCUGAAGGCUUUUCUGAGCAUGUACCCAGGAUUUCAGGACAAGGAGAUAACACGUUAAUAGCUGAAAAACUGCUGAUGCAAUUUCAGUGUCUGCUUUUGAAAAUCAGAGCCAUUAAUGGUGUCAAUAAAUUUGAAAAAGUCAUGGUAAUCCAAUUACUGCUAUUUUAAAACACUAAGGUUCCUUUGUAGCUAUGGAAACAAAAAUGCAGACAUUAAUGAGCAAGGGGGAAAGAACCCUGGUGUUUCCUUGACGACAGAUAAAAGCAAAGCUCCAUGAGACCCAGAGGAGAGAGGGACAGAAACACGUCUCACCAUGACAGACAACUGAAAUCCAAGUCCAGUGCAAUGAUAAACUUCCCUCUGCCAGGAGUGCUCUUUCACAUGACCUUUAUCCUGCACUUAUCCAUGCAUGAGGCACUCAGGGUACGAACUGCAGCCCUAAAGCACGUGAUGAGAACUGGAACCAUCCUGGGGCACCCCUGGGCCAGCUGUCAGCAAAAGGAAGAUUUGGGCAAGGAGGAGGAACUGGAGCUCUUCAUUCCCACCCCAUCACCUGAUACUUCAGGAGUAAAGCUGGGGUCAUCUGCUUUUUCUCUUUGAUGUCCAAGAUUUUGUCCAGGAUUUUAGACUAUCCUUGUAAAUUAGUCCAUAAAAAAUCCCUGCUUAUGGUCAAUACUAAGAACCCAAACCAAAUAAAGCCCCAAAUCAAACCGUGUGAUGAUUCAGCAUUUAGAACCUUUCCUAACACACAUUAAAACUACAUUUGGAAAAAAGAUCUAUGGGAUUUUAAUGGAAGAUGGUUUGGGGCUGGACUUUUUAUGUUUUUUUCCUUUCUCCUUUGGGUGAGUGUCUGCCUGUCCAGCCCUGCUGUUGGGCUGUGGAAAGAACCCAAGAACUUUAAAGGAAAAAUUCAAUUCUUAGUGAAACUGAGGUUGUGUCUGCAACCAGCUGAACCUUUUCAGGUUUGUGGCUGCCUUAGCAUUUUUUCAGCAGCCCUUGAGUCUUUUCCCUAUGGGAUCCAUUACUUUUGCCUUCUGUUUUAAUUUUCCUUGAACUGACUUUUUUGGCAAGGAGACCCACAUUUGCUUCUAAUGAAGCUUUGUCUCUCCCUUUUGCUGUUCAAGCACAUUUUUGUCUUCAAGUUUUUUUUUCUCUUGGUAUGGCCUGACCAGUUUGUGAGGGCUAUACUCCUCUUUGGGUGGUAGUUCUUGCUUGCUCAACAAACAGAAUGAACUGCCAGAUGAAUCUUAGUAGUUGUUAUGCAAUGUUGAUAGGAGGGCAGUAGUUGGCUGUCCAGUUUAAAAGAAUGUAAAUAUUUUUUGAAUAUUUUUCUAUAUUCAAUUUUUUCCCCCCAGAUUUUUAAUAGUUGCUUUAAAAGAUUCUUCCAAUUCACUAAGCUGUGAUCUUUGGGAAAAACAGUCAAUUUAAGUGCCAUGCUGGAAAUGAUCAAAUGAAAGAUGUGUAGGCAACCAUGAUUCCUGUAUAUUCAAAUUUAAGAGUUCAUGUCUAUAGAAGAAAUAUUGCUAUUUGUGAUAACCAAUAUCAUAUUACACAAUGGUUCUUCAUGGGGAUUAAUUCUCAGGGGAGGAUUAGGUGGAUUUAGACAUUCCAGGUGCUACUUCACCAGCAGCACAGUUGCAAACACCAUGGAGAAAUGGUGAUUUGGAAAGACAGCAGCCACAGGGUCAUGAAAUAGUUGUCCAUGUCAUAUUGAGACAAAAAUGAGCAACACAUUCACCUCAGAGAGUAACUGCUUCAAGAUGUGUAUUUUGUUACUACACUUUUCUA
rnacentral:lncRNA from 1 species